rnacentral:tRNA from 1 species
UGCGGGGUGGAGCAGUGGUAGCUCGUCGGGCUCAUAACCCGAAGGUCGCAGGUUCGAAUCCUGCCCCCGCUACCA